GUGGAAAAUUUAAAGAAAUAUUUAUAAUUGAAUAAUAUUUUAUAUAUCCUUUUUUAAAGUUUACAUAAGCCAUUAUUGUUCUCCAUAAAGUAACUUGCUUUUUUAUCGAGGGAAGGAAUAAUACUUUCUAACUCACCCUCUUUGAACCAUAAAAGCCAAUUUGUUGUUUUUAUUGAAGGAAAGCUAGCAAAAUAUUUUGUAAUUGACGAUGGAUAAAAUUAGCUGGAGAGGAAAUGAUGAUGGCAUAGUUUGUUUGACCCAAAAAGGGAAAGGAGAAAAAAAAAUAAAUAAAGGAAAAACAAAAAAGAAAACCCAAUUUACCCAUCGACCAAGGUGCCAUUUCAAGUUCUUUGCAAGGUGGUAUGAAUAUAAUAAAUGCUUCCUCAACCCAAAACCCAAUGGGAAGUAUCAUGCAGUUGGCAACAAAACAAACAGACGACACAUCACAGGGCAUGCUUGGACAUGGAAAUAACACUACAGGUUCAGUCCAUGAAAAUUUUAUGUCAAAAAACACUUCAGCUGACUCACCUUUUGGUAGUCGUACAGAAAAGAUUAUCAACAGUUUUCUGCAGAAUCCUGUUUUGAAAGGAGAGGAAAACGAGACAAAUGAAGUGGCUGGGCGGUUGAGGUCAGAGAACAACUUGCUUCACAUGAGAACGAAGAAGAUUGAAAGAUGGAGCACCCAGAAUCAGAGAACGAAGAAGAAGAAGAAGAAGCAUAAGAAUUUUUUUCUACACAUUUGUACUCCCAGGUUGAAGAAGAAGAAGAAAAAAAAUGGCAAAAAAAAAAAAAAAAAAACAAUGCCAGAUCGAAGAGAAGAAUGAAGAAGAAGACAUUUUUUCCUCCACAUUUGUACACCAGAUCGAAAAUAAAAUUGCAAAAAAAAACAAAUUGCCAGAUCGAAGAACAAGACAAACGAAGAAAAA